UACGAAGGGGGCUAGCGUUGCUCGGAAUCACUGGGCGUAAAGGGUGCGUAGGCGGGUCUUUAAGUCAGGGGUGAAAUCCUGGAGCUCAACUCCAGAACUGCCUUUGAUACUGAGGAUCUUGAGUCCGGGAGAGGUGAGUGGAACUGCGAGUGUAGAGGUGAAAUUCGUAGAUAUUCGCAAGAACACCAGUGGCGAAGGCGGCGAUCUGGGAAGAUACUGACGCUGAGGUGCGAAAGCGUGGGGAGCAAACAGG
rnacentral:rRNA from 1 species